UCACAAUAUGCUAUAUUACUUAUUCCAAAAAAAAACAAAAACAUUAAGAGUAUGUGACGUCAUAUUUUCAAUUUUGAUAUGAAUAAAAUUAUCGCUGGGGUAUUAUCAGAAUAAGGGAAAUGGGUUUGACUGUCUUUAUUGAAAUUUUGGAAGAUAAAGUUAGUCAGCAGUUAACAUUCACUUUUGAUAAUACUGUGUCAUCAUCAUAUUUUGUGUUGUGUACUUUUAUGAUGAUACCUACAAGGAAUGACUGUUCUGUCAGUCGUCAAAUUAUUUCAAUACUAAUAUGAAAAAACUAGAGAACUAAGACAAGAAAGGAAAUGGGUUUGUUUUGUCUGUCAUUGUUCAAAAUUGUAUAAGAUAAAGCUGUUCUGUCAGCAGUCAAGUCCAAUCUUUAUAUCGUGAAUCAUACCACUAUAAGAAAAAACAAGUGUCGAUCAUCAGUCAAAAGUUACAAUUUUUGCCAAAAAUAAAAUGGGGGUGUUGUUAAAUAAUACAAUGCGGGAGAGGUCUUAUGAAAACGCUGUUCUGUCAGCAGUCAAUAUUCAGUAUUGAUACGAUAAAUAUUAUUUUGGGGCAUACCACAAUAAUUGUUACAAAUAUCACUUAUUCCAAAAAAAACAAAAACAUUAAGAGAAUGAAGUAAUAUAAAAGAAAAUCUAGAAAAUUAAGACAAUAAAGGAAAUGGGUUUGUUUUGUCUGUCAUUGUUCAAAAUUGUAUAAGAUAAAGCUGUUCUGUCAGCAGUCAAGUCCAAUCUUUAUAUCGUGAAUCAUACCACUAUAAGAAAAAAUAAGUGUCGAUCAUCAGUCAAAAGAUCCAAUUUUUGUCUAAAAAAAUGGGUGUGUUGUUAAAUAAAUCAAUACGGGAGAGGUCUUAUGAAAACGCUGUUCUGUCAGCAGUCAAUAUUCAGUAUUGAUACGAUAAAUAUUAUUUUGGGGCAUACCACAAUAAUUGUUACAAAUAUCACUUAUUCCAAAAAAAACAAAAACAUUAAGAGAAUGAAGUAAUAUAAAAGAAAAACUAGAAAAUUAAGACAAUAAAGGAAACGGGUUUGUUUUGUCUGUCAUUGUUCAAAAUUGUAUAAGAUAAAGCUGUUCUGUCAGCAGUCAAGUCCAAUCUUUAUAUCGUGAAUCAUACCACUAUAAGAAAAAAUAAGUGUCGAUCAUCAGUCAAAAGAUCCAAUUUUUGUCUAAAAAAAUGGGGGUGUUGUUAAAUAAAUCAAUACGGGAGAGGUCUUAUGAAAACGCUGUUCUGUCAGCAGUCAAUAUUCAGUAUUGAUACGAUAAAUAUUAUUUUGGGGCAUACCACAAUAAUUGUUACAAAUAUCACUUAUUCCAAAAAAAACAAAAACAUUAAGAGAAUGAAGUAAUAUAAAAGAAAAUCUAGAAAAUUAAGACAAUAAAGGAAAUGGGUUUGUUUUGUCUGUCAUUGUUCAAAAUUGUAUAAGAUAAAGCUGUUCUGUCAGCAGUCAAGUCCAAUCUUUAUAUCGUGAAUCAUACCACUAUAAGAAAAAAUAAGUGUCGAUCAUCAGUCAAAAGAUCCAAUUUUUGUCUAAAAAAAUGGGUGUGUUGUUAAAUAAAUCAAUACGGGAGAGGUCUUAUGAAAACGCUGUUCUGUCAGCAGUCAAUAUUCAGUAUUGAUACGAUAAAUAUUAUUUUGGGGCAUACCACAAUAAUUGUUACAAAUAUCACUUAUUCCAAAAAAAACAAAAACAUUAAGAGAAUGAAGUAAUAUAAAAGAAAAACUAGAAAAUUAAGACAAUAAAGGAAACGGGUUUGUUUUGUCUGUCAUUGUUCAAAAUUGUAUAAGAUAAAGCUGUUCUGUCAGCAGUCAAGUCCAAUCUUUAUAUCGUGAAUCAUACCACUAUAAGAAAAAAUAAGUGUCGAUCAUCAGUCAAAAGAUCCAAUUUUUGUCUAAAAAAAUGGGGGUGUUGUUAAAUAAAUCAAUACGGGAGAGGUCUUAUGAAAACGCUGUUCUGUCAGCAGUCAAUAUUCAGUAUUGAUACGAUAAAUAUUAUUUUGGGGCAUACCACAAUAUGUUAUCACUUAUAAAAAAAAAAUACAUUAAGAGAAUGUAACAUGUCAUAUUUUCGAUUUUGAUAUGAAUAAAAUUAUCGCUGGGGUACCUUAGGUAACUACGAAAGUUUUGAGAUACAAAAAAACUACUGAAGUUAUUCAAAUAAUUUAUAUUACAGUUUCUCGAAAUAUUCUCCUUUAGCUUUAAUGCAUCGGUUCAUCCGCCUAAACCAUGAUAUGUAGCAUUCCCGGUACUCUUCUUUAGGAAGGUCUUCUACGGCUUAAUAUAUAAAUAAUAUUAUUCCGCAUAUAGGCAUUCCGAGCAUCCUCAGGGCUGUUGAAUCGCGUGUCACGAAGUCCAAGUUUGAUUUUCGGGAAGAGAAAGAAAUCACAAGGAGCUAAAUCGGGACUACUGCUGGUUUUCCUUAAAUAAUUUACACGGCUGCUCGCACCUGCGUGCAUUGGCACCAAAGUUAGUAUGGUACCAACAUAUGUCGUUGCUAGCGUAGCGGGCGCGGGACCUGAAUCUGUUUCUAUUACGCGAGUACCAACGAUUAGUUUCGUUGUGUUUGUCCGAGAGCAGCAACCAUUCGUGUAAGAUUCAUUGAUUUUCAUCUGCAUAUUUUGCAUAUCAACAGGUUGUAGGAAAAGCGCUUGCGGAACUCUGAUUGUAUGUAACUGGUCUCUGGUCUGGUAUCUGGUCGGCGCACGUAGAGUCUGCGUUGUUUGCAAUACAAUUGCAUUGUGUUUGCAUCGGCGAGUUGUCUUGUUGUACUAGAUGGUGGUGGUUAUUCGGUGUUAUGCCAUACAAUUUGUCAGUUAAAUAUCAAAGGUCGUCCAACGACAUUGUUGAGGGAUGGGAAAUUAAAUUUCCUUGUAUAUGUGUAGGAAGCCUACUUAUCCAAGCGUACUGAGGCGAGCUCAUGUUCCACACGGUUUUCCCGUCACUAAAACUAACGGGCUUCGCAAAUACAUAUAAAAUAACAUGUAUUUUAGUGACUUUUACUUACUGUCAUCAUGCCUAUUGUAAACUCAUACUAUAAUAUAAACUACCUAUUCAUAUUAUAUCUGGUUAUUACGGCAACAAAAAUAUUUAUCGAUUAAAUGUAUCUUUAAACAAUCGAUAAUAAAUAUUUUCAAAAUAUCUAGGACAUCACUAGAUGCGUUACGGCGUUUAGUUAUCAACGCAUUCAACGCUGCAAAUUUAUGUAGUGUAGCUCACUAUCAUACCUAAUUAAAAUUUUCAAUUCAUCUGAACAAAAAAAUAAAUAACGAAAGUACAAUAAUAACAAUUAUGUUUUUUAUAUGAUUUAUUUUUUUAUUACUUUUUAAAAAUGCUAUAUAGUUUUGGUAAUGAUUUGCGUUUUAUCUGAAACACUAUAUAACAGUGAACAAAACGUAAUUUGAAGUGUUGAGUUGACUGAUCGAGAGAUUCGCAUUUAUGUUCGAAUUUUUUUAUUUUCAAUUAAUUUAAGUAAGUUUAAUAAAUGUUUUUAGCACAGUAGUAGUCUUAGGAUGACCAUGGAAAGGAGGAUAAAGCUGAAAACCCUUAACAGCCACAUAACUUGCAAGAUUUGCCGGGGAUACUUCAUAGAUGCUACCACAGUCACCGAAUGCUUACAUACGUGUUAGUAUUUUCUCGAAAUAACACUAAUAUAGCGCUUUUCUCUGCUAACAAUCUUACAAUAAAACUAAUAUUAUAUUUAUUUUUCUUGAUUGAGCUCAUCAUCUUCUGGACAAGGUUUUUUUCUACUUUCUUAGCCUGUUGAUUCCACCUAGAACGCAGAGAAUUGAUGUCCUGUUUUGCCAGUUUUAUGCAAUUUACCUUUCAUUAUUGCCCAGUAGUUCUCGAUUGGGCGGAACUCAGGACAGUUUGGAGGGUUCAUUGAUCGGGGUAUAAAAUCGACAUUAUUUGAAGCAUACCACUCCAAAACCUUUUUCGAGUAGUGCAGUGACGGGGCAAGACCAAAAUUUGAUGUGGGCAAGGUACAUUAGCGAGGCCCUCUAGAGGCGGCGAUAGGAGCAAUGUUAUAAAUAAAAAUAAAAAUUUGAACACUAUACUUUAUUAUAAUAACGACAAUGCAAUCCAAACCAUUUUCUUAGACUAACAUUUUAGAAACAAAAAUUUCCUGCCUUUAGCCUUACUAAACUCCUUAAUGAUCGUACCGUAAUUCAACUUAGAUGCUAUGUCCGCUUCAAUGGAUAAAACUGUCAAAGCUGAAAAUCUUUCAGCGGAGGCUGUACUUACCGGUAUCGUUAGCAAAAUUCUAUACACAAUGAAAAUAUUUGGGUAAAUUUCUUUUAAGUUAUUUUCUACUAUGUAUUUAAGAAUAAUUCGUAAGGUUGUAAGUCAAUACUUUCACCCACUCGCAGGACAGUUUUCUAACAAUUGUUCUUUAGGUACCUAUAUUUUUCAAUUUUCUCAGAUCGUAGAGAAAACCAAAAAUUUUAAAAUGUUAAUUUAACGACAUGAAUCUUGAAUCUAUAUUGCUUAUUAUACAAUCACCCAUUGUGUUAAAAAAAUCUGACUCAUAUUGCCUUUUAGGAAACUGUAUAGGCUGAUCCCUGCUUUCAUAAUGAAACAUCCUUUUCUUUCUGGCUACCCUUUUAUUUUUAGUCUUCUGGCAGAUCGUACCUGCUUGUCUCAAUAAAUUUACGAGAGUCAGACAAGCAUUUUUCAAAUCCAGUUUGUCGAUAUUCUUUGAUUCAGAGCCCUCAAAGAAAGCCAUAGCCAGAUCUUCACCUAUCAUUACACCAUAGUUGCGUGGCAUCCUUGCUACAUAUCCGAUAACAUUCUUGUCCUUAGACAUAGCGACGGCCUUUGCACCGCCAACCAUCUCUCCUGUCAGUUCUGCCAUAUACUUAUCACUCAUUGCACUAGCUGCUUCAGAGAGCAGAUCAUUCGCUGCAUUCACAUCUUUUUCUAUUGCUGCAUCUGUCACGUCGUAAAUCGCACUCUGCUGCAGACACAAGGCCUUGCAGUGGCUCACCAACCUAUCGAUUUUACCUGCAAUCGAAGAACUCUCGCUCCGUACUGAACUUCAUUGUUGACGCAGUAGUACUGCGUCUCUCUGUAAUCGAGUUAUCAAUCCUUUCUUUCAUGGGCAUCUUGCUGCCUAAAUCUGUAGUAUCAGUGAUCAACGGCCUAAGCUUCUCAUUUCUAGGCUCCUUGUUUUUAGCGUCUUUUCGCUUGAUGCUAGCGGUCUUUUCCUCCCGAGGGGUUGGAUUCUUGAUUCUGCGGGCCAGCUUCUCUGGCUCGGCAUUGAACAAAUCCCUCAAAACACCGAUGUCCUCUUCGGCCGCGACCCUUCGCUGAAAGCUCGAAUUUCUUAUGAAGUUGGAAAGAGGCAAGGUACUCCUCCCCGCGAGGAUCAGUUUUGUAACUAGUUACUAAUAUCAUUUGCUCUUCUUUGCUCUCCUUCGAGCGAUAGAGCGUGGUUAAGAGAAUCACUUUUGGAACUGACGUGGCCAUAUUCUUUCGAGUGUAGUGUCCGUUUCGCUAUAUUAUACUAUGAUCGGAAUUAAGGUAGGGCACUCAAGGUCUAUUAUAGCUUGACCACAACCGCUGUGCCGCUCCUUAGGUAUGCGCGGGGAGGCGGGGUGCGGGCAGGAAAGAUCACGGACACACAAGAGUCUGUCGUCGUGUCGGAUAGAUCUGAAGAUACCGAAGUACAAUAUUUUGGCUCUGUAUAGGUACAUACUUAUUAUAUCCAAUUUUUAUUAUGGUACAAUACGAUUUUUAGGUAAGCACAAAUAAAAAAAACCAAUAUAAGUCAAAUUAAUGUGUAAUUAUCGGAAAAAUAAAUAGUUUCGAGAGUUAAAACAGAAUCAGUUCGAAAAACAAAAAAACAUAAGCUUCUAGUUAAUGAAUACAGUGACUAUUCUGACAUAGAUUCACUUUUAUCUUCAUCUUCCAUUUCGCUACCGGAACUUGAAUCAUUGUCAUCCUGCAAAUUUAUUAUUAUGGGGUCAGAAAUAUUGUCGAAACGGUUGUCGCGAUCCCAGUAAUCGUUUUCAUUUUUUUGGACAUGGUCAUCACACCUCUGCCAUUUUUCUGCCGUGAACUCCGAAAAUAAUAAAUUCAGUGCGUUUAUCUUUUCAUCUAGAGAAGAAUGAAUAUGGUUUUGCGCUAUAUUGUUUUUAACAUCAGCCCAUACCAAUUCGAUGGGGUUCAGAUCUGGAUGGUAUGGAGGUAAACGCAGGACUGUGUGCCCAUGAGCUUUUAAGAGGUCAUCGAUUCUGUAAACAGGCUCUUUUUGAGUGGCAUUUAUAAGAAUCUGCAGUUGAUUUUAUUUUCAUUUUUUCCGGAAAUUCAACAUUGUGACGCCGCAGCCAGUUCUGCAUUUCACUUUUGAGGUUUGUCAUGGUCGGUUUCUUAUCAACUUGAACGCUGUGGUAAGACGCGUUGUCCAUCACAAUUACAGAAUUCGGCAGCAGUUUAUCUUUCAACUUUUCAUCCACCCACUUAUAAAAAGUAGGCCCGUUCAUGUCUCCAUGGUAGUCGCCAGUCUUAGCAUCGGAUUUAAAUAUAGUCAAUGCACCUUCGACCAAGCCAUUUCGACUUCCAGCGUGAACGAUUACCAAGCGUCGUCCUUUUCCGAUGUCAGUGUGAAUUCCAAGUUCCGACGAUGAUUGCCAACAUUUGCUAACAUUGUGACUGGCGUUAAUAUAUGUCUCAUCUAGGAAAUAUAUGUUGCGGUUUUCACUUCUAUAUUUUUUUAUUUCUGUCAAAUAUUUCCUCCGCCACUCUGUAAUAUUAGGCUGCUCUAUAAGAAGAUGUCUUUUCGAUCUACAUUUUUUGAACCGGUAACCCAUUGUGUGUAAAAGUUUUCUCAAAUAUUCUCGUCCACAAUUCAAAACACCAUCUUGUCUCAAACUUGACAGUAACUUACGAAUACUUGGCACUGUUUUUUCGAUCUCAUAAAACUGAUGAAUCUUUCUCCUGAUCACUCCCAAGUCAAAAUCAUCAAUUACAUAUUUUUUCUUUAUAACUCGGUUUUUUGGGCGAAUUAAAUUUCGGUUGGCCCUCAUUUUCAAUUGAUGAAUUUCCUACAGAUAUUAUUUUUUAUUUUCUUUUCUUACGGUUCUUUGGCAGUACCCAGUAGCUUCGGCCACAAGUUUGGCGAUAUUUGCGUCACUUUCAUGUUCGAAACUAUCUUUGUCUGCUUUUCUUUUCCUAAAAUAUUCGGCCACUUUGAAAAUGACAGCUUUAACAUCUCGAGAUAAAGCACGACCCAUCUUUGGAUAUUCUAUCUCAUGUGCGUCUGACAUAGACAGCCCGCAACAGAUAACACUACACGCCGCCACGAGCGACGACGGCGGAAUGACAGAGCGCAGUGGCUGCUCUGCCCCCCCGUCUCGCCGCUCGCAUACCUAAGGAGCGGCACAGCGGUUGUGGUCAAGCUAUAACACAUUGCUUAUUAUUACAUCAUUUUUGUAUAUGACUGUUUGUUGCCUAAAUAAAAAAAUAAAAAAAAUGUACGCAAAAGUUCAUUGUACAGACUGCCAUAAUUUGCUUAUAAGAUUCACACGCGAUAAUAUAUCAUACCAUACGUGCAAUGAUAAGAUAAAUUUUAAACUGAGCAUUUCGUUUAAAAUCGAAUCACAAUCACCGAGUGUCUGGUUGUUCUGUUUGAUUUUUUAAGCUUUCAAUACAAUUACAGCAUCAACGAAUUGCAGUAAUAUGGCCUUCACGGCCUCGAUUCUGCUUUCCCACCUUGUGUCCGAUAAAGGCUUAAUAGUCCGCUUUAAUUUGGACUUUAUUAAUUCACAGCGUUUACUGGAACUUGAAAACAGCACAUACAUUUUCUGGAUAAAAUCUGUGUCUACCAACAACAGAUUCCAGCUGUGACAACCGCGAGGUGUAAAAAAUGCCCUGGGAUUAAUAUUUAAUAUCCGAGUUUUAACUCCACUACUGAUGCCAACCAUAUUCGCACCAUUGUCGUAAACUUGGCCACGACAAUUUUGAAUAUCUAAGCCAUUUUUCUCUAGCUCUCCCAGUAUUGCAUUAGUUAAAUACUCUCCAGUUGUCUCAGAGACAGCAAGAAAUCCGAUAAAGUAAUCUUCUAUUGUGCCCGUUGCUGUAUUACAAAAUCUUAGAAUAACUGACAUUUAUUCAACUUUACUACAGUCUCUUGUGCAGUCGAGCAUAAAAGAGUAAUAUUUUACCUCUUUUACCCUACGAAUCACUUCUUCGAUAACUGCUUUUGACAUUAAUGUGAUCAGUUCGUUUUGAAUAUUGUGGCUUAGAUAGUGGUGUGAAAGUUGUUUAUCGUUAAUGC